GGAAAAACUACAUGGCUUACCAAAAGAGGUCUCUCUGUUCACUGUCCAUUAUCUGUUGACUGAACUAGUUCAAAUGAAUAACAACCAUACAAACACAUAUAUACACAAAUAUACAUAUGCUUCAAUGAAAAGCAGGCAUGCAGCUGACAGCUCGGCAACCCUGAGCACAGAAUUUUGAAGAGAGAAUACACUAAAAGGGAAGAACAUAACUACAUGACAUCAUAAGAAGUCCUGAAUUAGAAGCGUAUAUUUGAAAGGUCAUGCAUCCUGAGCUGCCAACAGCUUAACAACCAGAGGCAGAGGCCAGCUUUGCCAGCUCACUGCUUCUACUCAUCUUUCAUGAUAGUAGCCAGGCUGAAUAUAGUUCCAGGAUGAUAAUGAAUUGGCUGGGCAUACUGUUUAUAUUAGUAUGUAUGUUCCUGUACUAAACCAAGCAUCAUGAGGCCAGCACUAUUUUGCCAUUUUUCAGAAAAAAAAUAUGAACCCUUCAAAACAUAGUAAGCCUUUUUUAAAGUAUAUAUUUGAUUUUGAAAUAAUCAAAAUAUAUGUAGGGAUAUGACUGCAUCCUAAGAUUUAUGAUAAGUUCUGAUGAGUAAUAUUUUCUUUCUACAUGCAAGGCAAAGUUAAUAGUAACUAGAAAGUCUUUAUUUGGCAUAUCAUAGAUUUCUGUCAACCAAAACAACUAACUCUGGGGAACAUAACGUUCUGACAACUUCAGAAGAGUUAAGUCACAGACAAAAGUUUAUUGGAUCUUAGUUGGCUCCUACCCACCAAUUCUUUCUUUUCCAAGUGGAACAUAAUAGAUUUUCAAUAUUUGUUAAAUAAUUGAAAAAAUAUCCUCAAAAUUCUUUUUUGGCCAUCUUCCCAACAAGAAUAUGGUCCUAACCUAUAUGUAGAGUCCUUUGCUGUGUCAUCUAUUUCUUCAGAAUUAUUCUCCUAAUUCAUAUGUCUGGAUAGUCUCUCUGAAUUGUUAUAGAAAAUUAAAAAUGUGAACUAUGAAAUUAAUUUUUAAACUUUUAUAACCAUCUAGUCAUACACAGAAUAACCACAAAUAUAAACAUGGUUUCAAAGAAUUCCCUGUGACAAUCAAGCAAAUAGUGAAAUAGUUUCUGCUAUUAUGAAUUUA
rnacentral:lncRNA from 10 species